GUUUUAGUCCUGCAGUCGUCUCUUCAUGCUGAACUAUGACCGUCCUCAGAGGAAUUAUUCUCCUGUCUGCAUGUCUUCUAGGUGUAAGUGGUCAGACACUGACUGAAUCUGAGCCAGCGGUCAUUAAACCUGGAGGAUCUCACAAACUGACUUGUACUGGCUCUGGAUUCACGUUCAGCAGCUACUGGGUGGGCUGGAUCAGGCAGCCUCCUGGAAAAGGACUGGAAUGGAUCGCACACAUCUAUGGCAGCAGUAGUAUUGAAUUUUCUGCAACACUGAAAGGAAGAUUCAGCAUCUCCAGAGACGACAGCAAAAACCAGAUCUACCUUCAAAUGAGCAGCGUGAGGAGUGAGGACACUGCUGUUUAUUACUGUGCCCGAUAG